UUCAGUGUAAUGCAACAAAAAAUCAGGUGAAACACUUAUUGAGUAAGUAGUUUGAAUGAAUUUCUCCCAGUGUUCAUGACUUUUUUAAUACUUUAAAAUCAGGCUAGUUUUGAAAUUCAUCUCCAGAUACUGUGAGAAAAUUGCAGAUUUUGGGACCAGAGCGUGUGAACAGCUGUAAAAGAUUACAACAGAAUCGUUUAAAAAAAAUGGAUAAAGUUAUGCAAGUUAAAAAACCCAAACCAACAACACCAAAACCACCACACAUUUGACAUGUCGAAUAGAAACAGUUUGCAACCUGAAUGUUAAAAGACUGGUGUGUGCACGUAAAAUGUGAUUUGUUUUUCAAAUGCACUGUUCAGUACAUCUUAGGGAUUCUUGCAAUUUCAAAUGACAUUUCUCGUUGAGCAUAUUUUAACCUGCGCUUUAUCUAAGGAAAUGCUUGAAGUAGCAAUAACUGGAAAAGACCACAGAGGCCAAAAGUUUUCUGCUUUUUUCUUGUUUAGUUUCUCUGUCUGACAACACAAUUUGUGAUCUGUCAGUUUAGUGUGUGCAGAAGAUCUGUGCAUAGCAGACAAGUGAAGUGUUGUGGUCCUGCAACCCCAAGACUUUCCAGACAGGCUGAGAUACAGGUACAGCAUUUGACGCCAUCGCGUAAUGUGUGGCUUCACUGUUUAUAAAAGAGAUCUUGUAUUCUUCGUUAUAUAUCCUUUGUAUAUGCAACCAUUUGAAGGCAAUGAAAUAUUAUUGCUUGUUAUCUUAGAUUCUUUUUUCUUGGAGCACGAAAAUUUUGCAUGUUUUGGGGAAGACAAAGGUAGUAAUAAGGGUCCAAGGCUAUUUACAAGCAAGCAUCUGAGUUAGGAGAACAUGCUUUCCUGCUUCUCUUUAGCCAGAUUCUUCAUGUUCCUUUCAACUGAAACAGUUAUGAUGGCUGGCCACACACAGUGCCUGAAGAUGUGAAAAUGUAUUUUGAAAAGCAGCAAAGCCUCAUCACAGAGUUGAAUAAAGAGCGAGACUUGAAGUUGCUUAGGAAAAGGGAAGAUGCAAAAGAAGACAGUAAAUACUUAGUAAGAGGAGGCAAGGGUUAAGGCCUGGGACCACAGAACAGCUGGAAUAUGUUAGUUUUACAGGAAGGCAGCCCAGAGAGACAGUGUGAAUUGCCAGCAGGUGGCUGGGAAUCGCUGGAUAACUUGGGACUGGAAGUGGUGGGACUCUGCUUCUUACUGUGAUGACUCGACUAAUUUCACCCAAAGCCUGUUUUUCUAUAUAACAGCAGACCUUUGUCAAAGCCCAUUGAAGUAAAUUUAGCAUUUUCUUUAAACAUAAUAGGUUCUGGAUCUGGCCCCUGAUUGUUUUGACACUUUUUGUUUGCUGUAUCCUUUAAAGAUUUACGUUAUUCCUUCUCUGAAGAGGGAAAAAGGACUGGUUGACUGCAAGACAGGCUUCAAAGUGUGAGACACUGAUGUGUCCCUUGGAGAAACUGCCUCAGAGUCAAGCAGACACUGUUUUGUUAAGAGAAGAUGCAAGCAGACAAGUGUGGGAAGAAAGGUCUGCUGGGGUUUCUCUCCCUUCUGCGGUAAGGAAAGCUAUGUUGACAGAGACAGCUGCUCUCACCACAGUGACACUUUGCUGUAAUUUGCAAUACUGGUCUGUGUUCUGCAGAAUUCUUAAUCAUAAAGUGGGCUUUGCUCUGGGUGGCACUAUACAAACACAAGAGGCUGUCCCUGGCCCAAAGACCUUGCAGUGUAGGUGUAAAAUGAGAUGACAGCAAGUGGACACGGAGACAGGCAAACAGAAGGACCCAAUGACAGUGCAAUUCUGGUAGCAUAGCAUGGCAGUUUUCUCAACAU